rnacentral:rRNA from 1 species
GACGAACGCUGGCGGCGUGCCUAAUACAUGCAAGUAGAACGCUGAAGGAGGAGCUUGCUUCUCCGGAUGAGUUGCGAACGGGUGAGUAACGCGUAGGUAACCUGCCUGGUAGCGGGGGAUAACUAUUGGAAACGAUGGCUAAUACCGCAUAACAGUAGAUAUUGCAUGAUAUCUGCUUGAAAGGUGCAAUUGCAUCACUACCAGAUGGACCUGCGUUGUAUUAGCUAUUUGGUGAGGUAACGGCUCACCAAGGCGACGAUACAUAGCCGACCUGAGAGGGUGAUCGGCCAAAAUGGGAAUGAGACACGGCCCAGAAUCCUACGGGAGGCAGCAGUAGGGAAUCUUCGGCAAUGGACGGAAGUCUGAACGAGCAACGCCGCGUGAGUGAAGAAGGUUUUCGGAUCGUAAAGCUAUGUUGUAAGAGAAGAACGAGUGUGAGAGUGGAAAGUUCACACUGUGACGGUAUCUUACCAGAAAGGGACGGCUAACUACGUG